rnacentral:lncRNA from 1 species
GAAAAAGGGAACAUGAUGUGAGCACUGAAAAGAGAAGCAUACAAAAAAUGUGAACUGCUGAAUUUACUGUCUAGCUAUAAUGAGGUAUUGCUUAACAAUUAAGUUAAAUUAUGCAGCUGUUUCCUCGUAUAUUGUGCUAAUGCAUCUGAGAAAUUAUAAUUUUCUGAUUGGAGAAUGUUAUGUGGAGGAAACUGUAGCAUUCCCCAUUCCUGCAACAAUUCAUUUCAUGAUUAAAAAAGGAAGCCAGUAUUUUUGCAGCUGGCAGGAAUAGGCAAUAAAAGAUGACAAUCCAAGGAGGCCUGUUAGUCACUGACACAAUAAAACAAUCCCCAACAAAAGCUGCAAAAGGAAAAAAAAAAAAAAAAAAAAAAAAAAAAAAAAAAAAACAUGAAAGGGCACCAACGACACACAGCCGCAGCUCAUCGGUUUCUGUGGAGAGGUGACUAUAUAGCCCUCUAGUAGCAAAAGCAGCUUUGAGUGUUUCAAAGCCAAGUGGUUGGAAAAUGUGAAGGGAACAAUUCAAUUGAUGCUUUAAAGCAAGUUUCCUGUACAACAGGGAAACAGGCAUGCACAUCAGCUUUUUUUUUUUUUUUUUUAAAAAAAAAAAAAGAGAGGAAAAAAAAAGAAGAAAUACAACUUCAGAGAGUAAAGUCACCUGAAGGAAUAAUGUGACACACCCUUACAGCGCUCAACAUCCAACCAUCUGUGGGCUAUCCACGUGAAACUGGUGGGAAGAUUUUCAGCAGCCCUGGGAUGUUAUUAUCAGACUAGCUAGACUGCCACAGCAUGGAAGGAAUAGAGGUCAAGAGCAAUGAGGAAUUGAUUCCUCCACCCCUCGUUACCACCAGUCCUUCGAAGUCAGAUAUUGCCAAUCUAUGUCAAACUGGCUGGAGGCUUUUAGAGGCACACAAUGAUCACAACACAGCUGCCACAGAUUUCGUCAAUGCAAACAGAGUGUAUAAGGAUUUUUGUUGUACGAUAAAUAGUUUAACUAUCACAGACAGUGCAGUGCACAAAUAAAUAAAUAAAUGAGGUGACAAUCUAGAUGGUCUUAGAUAA